CUAGUCAACGUGCUGGAAGCUGUUUUCAAGCCAGAAGUUCUCUGAUCCAGAGCAGGUUUUCAACAAACAUGUCUAAAGCCCAACAGCUGAGGGACAGACUGAAACAACUGACAACAGCUGCUGAUGAAGUAUUUGAAUUGUUAGCAGGAUUGAUCGCAAACUAUGAAGAAGAAAUUCAUAAUUUAAAAGAAGAAAACAAAGGACGGAAUGUUCUGGAAGCUGCUUUUAAUCCUCGAGUUCACUUGUACAAAGCAGGUUUGUUCACUUAACAUUGUAUUACUUUUAGCCCAUAACAGGCUGUUAUGACUGUCAAAUAUUUUCCUAAUCAGGUAUUCAACCAGUAAUUUUGCGAAUACUUGUGCAGUAGGAUGAGAAUGA